CUUGUGAUUGUCGUGACGUGCUUUAGUUUCGUGUCAUUUUAUGCAUACGUUUUCAUUUAUCCCGGAUUGCUUGUAAGGCCGUCUGAACUACUCCUGAGAUUGAAGCAAGUGCUUUUUGAAAUAGGCGAAGCCAGAGGUAUCCAGAAUCCGAUCCGUGCCCUUCUCGAGUCCUUGUCGUACAUUCAGUCACCAUGAACACCUGGUUUAGGAUGGCGUUGCUGGGAGUGCUGUUGGUAAAUAUCCCACAAACACAAGCGAGGCGAAUCAAUUAACAAGAGGAUGUUAGGGACGAGGAUACUGAGAAUACGGAAGAAUCGGAUGAUCGCACAAACGACGACACGAGUGCUGAUGAUGAGAAAGUCACCCCAAAACGACACAAGAGAGGACUUUUUGGUUCUUUUCAAGGCAUGUUUGGAAUGGCUGUGAAUAUGGUAGAUGGCCUAGCAAAGAAGGCUAGUAACCGAGGGGAGCAGGCGGACGAUACGAUGGGUGGUAUAGGCAAUUUUGGAAAGCGGAUGGGCGACAUGAUGGGGUGGUCUGAUGGGCGUCUUCAAGGGGGGCAGGUGAAGCUGCAGGUACGGACACAGCCGAAGCCAGCACAACUGCAUGUUGAAAUCAUGCAUCAGACGGGAUUCUUAAGUACAUGUAAUGCCUUCAGAACUAAAACUAGAAAUGUGAUACUCGAUAUGAGAAUAGAAUAAAUAUAACUUUCGAAAAUUGACAUCGGGCGGUUUCAUAUUAUAAGAAUCGCGUUUCGAAAGCAUCUACCGAGUCUACUUAUCCAUACGAUGCUUACAGUGUUAAACUAUAAAAUAUAUUCAAAUUCUGUACUAACAAUAUAUCUCUUAGGGAAUAUAUAUAUCGUCAUUGCCCUCUAUCCAUGCAGAGGUGCACUUAUAUCAUUGUAUAUAUGUCUAGUUACAUGAAUAAAAGCAUGUGUCCUCA